GGUUCCAUGGUGUAGCGGCAGCACUUCGGAUUUUGAUACAAGCUACAAAUUCCUAGCUUGCGCUGAAAUUUCCGACAACCCGAGUUCGAUCCUCGGUGGGACCU